rnacentral:tRNA from 1 species
GCCGGAAUAGCUCAGUUGGUAGAGCAGAGGACUGAAAAUCCUCGUGUCACCAGUUUAA